rnacentral:lncRNA from 1 species
AUGGAUUUGAACACAAGCGUAAUUUUGGUGGGAAGUAAUGGUCAGUCUUUUAUUCUUCAGAACGAUGCCAACAUUCUCAACUCGGCUGCAUGCACUGAGCCUAGCAUUAUCACUAACCUCCAGUCGAUUCAAGCAGAUAGUUUUGCAUACAAUGUCAACUGCACCAACGUAGAAACCCUAGACAAAGACUCUCUAGGUGCAAAUCCACAAAUCGUUGCAAUUCUCAACGAAAAUCAGGCCCAGACUUUCGAAAUCACCUCAGAGCAAGCAACGCAACUUGGGCUGCAAUUUGAUAGUAAUGAUCUCUCUAAAAAGAAACUAAUCCUGAGCAGUGACGAUAUCAGCACCAUCUCUGUGCCACCCCAUCAAGAAUUAUCUACUCAAUCUGGCCUAUAUAAUACGAACUUUAAUUUAAGUAUUGUAAACUCUCCUACUGUCAGCACCAGUAGUAGCACACCGUUUCUUGAAUCCCAGUUUGUAGACACAUCAAAGAAAUUCUCCCUGGAGCCAGUCAUAACAGUCAGCAACACAGCUCUUCAAGCAGACUGCACGGAGUCAUUUUUGCUGGAAUAUGGAGCCAAACUUAACAACAAAGAAGUUUCCCCAUCACUGCCGGAAUCAGUCUCUACAAAUACUCCAGCAGAACAGCAGCCAAUUCAGAACAAUUUAGUCGGACCUGAACAGUCAGUCUACGAUUCCAUUUUUCUUAAAGAGCCAAACUAUGAAGAAAUGUGUGGAGCGACAAGUUUACCAGACUUAGUAAAAAGCGUGAAAAAGAAAAAAGUUGAAACUAAGAGGCCACGAGAUGGAAUAGCAGAUGUUCGGAAAAGUCUAGCAAGCCUGAUACGAGUUCCUUCUCCUGUCCAUGACAAGGCUGUUGAUAAGACUUCGGGCAAUACAUCUUUCACUUGUGAAAAUGAUAAAGGCUCCAAGCUUGAAAGCACUCCAUCUUCAGAAGUGCCUGUUUGUUCACCCAAUGUUUCAAAGAUGUCUGCUGUUCAUAAUUCUUCAAGUGUGACGAAAAGUUCCUCUGAAAACUCUCAAAAAGCACUCAAAGAGCCAAAAAAAUUCAAGCCUGGAUCAGCCAGUGCAAAGAAGCAGUCAAGCCAAGAGAGUGAUGAAAGACUGGAUGUUACUGUCAACGCUCAAUCCUUGACCAAAGAACAGCUUAACGCGAUUGCUCAAGUCUUCUCAAACAAGCAAAUCAUGUUGGAUACCAAAGCACCAUCAAAAAAUGUAUUGUAUGAUCCUGAAACCAACACAAGGAUUAUUUGCAGAGUGGUUUACCCAGAAGACUUGUGCAAGAAAAAGACUGCUGACCCAGUUCCCUUCGAAGGAGAGAAAAAAGACUUAGAACCCAAUAAAAUUCUUGUCAAAAAAAGAGGACGACGUUCGAAACUGAAAGAUGAUGAAAAGUCCGCUACAGCUAACAAAAAUGAAACUAAAACUGUGCCAUCCAGUGCUGACAAGAAAGUGGACGAAUCUGACCAGAAUUUGGAAAAGAUGUUAGUGGCAUUAUCACGCACAACUCGCAGUGGUCGAGUGUCCAGACCUCCUCGGCAUAUGGCCACAAAUAAGAUCGCAGAUGAAACCAUCCCAACGCCCUAUCAAUCCGUUGCUUCUCAGCCAAAACCAGAACCGAAAACUUUUGCUUUUCUGCCAGAUGUAGUCAAGAAACGCAAUGUCUCAGCCGAGUUCAAAUGUCCAACUUGCGAGAAAGUUUAUCUUGGUCAAGCUAAAAUGGCGAUGCAUUUUGAGAAAAAUCCAACGCACAGGAACCUGGAAAAGUGGAAUGAAAUCUUGCAAUCUCUAAAAAAGACUGACUCAAAAAAUGCAUCUGAAGAUGCCGGAUCAAAAGCAAAAUCCAGCACAGGAAAGAAGAAAGGUAAAAAGAGGAGAACCUAUGAAGAAUGCAAAAUUCUUUUGAAAAAGGCACUAGAAGACUGUUCAAAAACGGAUGUUGCAUCGUUGGCUGGUCCAAUCGUAGCAAGCGUCCUUUCUGUAUGGGAAUUUCUUGUUUUGCGCUCAGCCAAAGUGAAAUCGGAGAAUGAAAAUCAUGUUCUCGCUCUGUUAAGGGAGCUGAAGGCAUUGCUCAAUCAAAUUAAAUCAAGUGCUGAUGCCCUCAUCUCGCCCAUUAGCUGUGCACAGCUGGAUUCUCACACAGAGACGACCAAUCAAAUUGAAAUUGGGGAUGAUACAACUAGUCAUGUUUUAGGCGUACCAUGUGGAAAAUAUCGCGUCAACAGCAAUUACGAAAACAACUGGCUCAAAUCUUUUUCGGAAGAAAGUAAGAAGCUGACAGAAAAUAAUACUGAUUCAAAAAGGCCUCGACAUGAAGAAGAUAUUAAUCUGUGGCCCCCUUCAGAGAACCCCACUCAGUUACCACCCUCUGUGCCCACUGAAACUUUCGACAAAGGUGAAAAUGACCUCAACGCAUCAAAUCUCCUUCUCCCAGAGAAUAAUCACUCCUCAACGAGCUAUAUUGAUGAGAUAAUGUCUCAAAGACUUGAAAAUUUGCGCACCCAACAGCAAAAUGAACUCAAUGAUUGCUUCACAAGUGUUGAUGACCUCAUCAACGAUUUCUCCGUUGCUAUUGGGAAAAAGUCAGAAAUCAUUCAAAACUAUCCCAUCGACAAGUGUGAUACUAGUCUGGAUCUCAACUUCAGCUUUCCCCGUAGCGAACUCAUCAGUGACUUUCAGCUCAUGAACGAUGAGAACAGGUUCACAGGCUCAGCUUCCGAGCCAGGUCCAUGUUCGAGCUCUCUUGUUAAUUAUCCCAUAGAUGAUUCUGUAUAUGACAACAUGAGUUCAAUGCAGGAUGUGAUUUCAGAUGAUACUGAUCUCAUGAAGUCACUCGUAAACUUUGAGCUACGGCAAAAUGAGACACUUAAUUUUGAUUCAAUGAACCAAUUUCCGCUGCAUGAGAAUGUGGCUGGUGCUUCGGAAUUUCGUGUUGAUGGUACAGGAUUUGAUCGAGUCGGACAAAUCAGUAGUUUAGUGUUGCCGCAGGCGACGAAAAUUCUGAAAGAGGACCCAAGAGAUGAGCUUGAUUUUGUGCAUUCUUUGGAUUGUUUAAAUCCGUCAAUUUAACAUCGCGUAUCUUAGUACUGAAGGAGUGGAUAAGCUUUUUAUUUGCUAUUGUGGAAGUGUUGCUUUUUUAAUGCUGUGAAGCACUUAUUUCCCUCUGCAAUUAUCAGGUGCUUUUGGUGAAUGGUGCAACCUAAAAACAGCCUCUUUCAAUUAAGUACAAACUUAUUUCUUAUCUUUAGAUAAUUCCAUGCUGUUUGGAUUUUUUUAAGAAUUUCUGGGUCCAUGGAUUGUUUUCAGUCUGUUAGAGUCGAUAUAUUACCGAAGACAACAAAUAAUCAUCACAGAGAGAAAAGAGACUCAAAGUGUUCGCCAUUAGUCAUUUUGCCAAACCUUUCAUGCUGAGUUUUAGCGCUGGAGUUUCAAAGUUGUUCAGCCCUUAAUUUCAAGUUAUGGUUAAAUGGAAACGCAGCUUGGGAAAGCUGUGCUUACCAAUCAGGUGUAUGAAUGUAAAUCUAAAUUUUAUAAAAAUUUAGAUUUCAGCUUCUUCUGCCGUUUCUGUUACAAAGUAAAUUUAAAAAAAUAUUUAAUUAGACUUAGUUAUAGCAAAUCUUAAUCAGUUGUAAACUGAUUAUCAUCUCUGACACCCUAGGUGUUUAACGCUAUACUGGUAUUUUCUAUGAAGAUCACAAAUGUUUGUAAGUUUUUUUACCCCUGCAUUUUUAAAAUAAGCUGACUGAAUUUAUAAUAAUAGUAUCAACCCAACUCCAAGCAAGCAAGGGAUUCCGCCAGUCUUAAUUUUAUCCUGAUUUUGCCCGUUCUAAUUUUCAUCCUCUCCUUCCUUCCUUAUUUUAAUUACUGUGAUAUUUUUGUGCAAGUUCACCUUAAAAAUUUCUAAUAUGUUUUCUACUGCCUUAUUAAUGAAAGAAGCAAGUUCAAAUAUAAAUGAGUUUAAUCACUGUAAAUGCAGAGUGUAUAUAUACAUACAGGCAAGCAGGGCUAGUAGGGUACAUACUCCCCUAAAAUGCACCCUCUUAGAGAAGGGGGCUUAAUGGUGAAAAUUCUUAAUAGAGGAAGCCUAUCUCGUUAAAAUUUGACAUUGUAACCACUUUGAAACGCAAUUUGAGGCGUUUUUUUGUAUACAUCGUGAGAGGUAAAAGAGUUGAGAGCUCUUUGAGAAAAGCUCCUUCCAGCUAUGAGAAAAGGGGAAAACACUUUGGCCAAAAAUAAAAUAAAAAAAAAUUAAGAUAUUCAUUUUGAAGGGAAGGGUAAAAAACUUUUUGGUGCAGGCCCGUAGACCCUUGCCUAAUGUGUCAACAUGGUAAAUCUAGCUCUGCCAGUGAAAGGUUUAGCGUUCCAACAGCGCUAAAAAGCAGCAUUCAUCUCACAACAAAAUACCUCUCUCAUUAAUGUAUUGAGUCAAAUUAGUAGAAAACAAACGAGCGUAAUUUUUCAUUUUGUGUACCUGUACAUGCAAGUAACUGAAAGCAACGUUCCAAGACCCCGUCUUUAGCUUUAAUUUUUAAAAGAGGGUAUCUUUAUGUGUAAUUUCAGUGGAUGUUGAAAAAUUUGAACCAUGUCUAUUUCCAGGUCUUAAAAUGAGAGGCAGAAUUCAAAUCCAUAAUUAAAAAAUACUCUAAGAAGUAGGAAUUCUGACUAGGACUGAAUUCUGACUGCCUCACAUGUCAAAUACGUGUAGAUAUCCUGUUGCAAACCAUAACUACUUAUCUUCUAUUGAUAAAAUAUUUCAAUUUGCUUCCUAUUAGUUACCACAAGAAUUACAAUAGACCUAUGGUCGGCUGUAAACGGGACCUCAGCCCACGAAAACUCGUAAUUCAGAUCAUAAAAGAGUUCUUACUGAAAAUUCUGGAUUAAAAAAUGUCAACUCCAACUGAAGAUCGGUGGUUAGAAAUUACAAGGGUGGAUAGUUAGCUUUUGGAAUCUACAUACGUCUAUAUGAACUUGAAUUACAAUUUUUAUCAGUAAUCCAGUUUUAAGUAACCCUCCUCUCAUUCAAUGUACCUUAGAUAUUUAUCAAAAAGCAUGAAAAAAUGUGAGAGAUUUUGCUUUUUUUGGAAUAAAAGGCAAGUGAAUGAUUUUAUCUCAAUGUUCUUAUUUUUAUGAAACAACAUCAAUCUAAUUAAUGAAGUCAACUAUUCUAAGUUCUCACUUGAUAAUAAUUUAGUAACUAACGGCGUUUUUUUUCAUGUACUUAUUUUCUUCUUUUUUGUCAAAAUUUUACAUAAUUUUUACAAAGAACAACUAUUUUCCUUCAAAACAUAUCCUGUUAUCCUUUUUAUCCCACUUUAAGUGAGGUUCAUCAUACCCAUCAAUAUAAUAACAACAAGUUCCGUCUUUCCCCCGUUUUUUUCUUCAAGAGGUAUAGUUAUCUCAGGUAUUUUCAAACCGUAAAAUUGUCCAGUCUCUUGGAAGCUUUUAAGAGCGAAGGAGAAAUAGUAAGACAGGUGGAACUCGUUUUACAGUUUAAUCUUUGUUGACCAGCACCGCUGCCAUCGGCACAGGUCUGUCGUUGAUUUUUUCUCUCAUUGUUUCUCACUCUUGCUGUGUUCGAAUUGCGUAGAUACUUACGCAGGCAGACCAUUUACUCUAAAAAUGAAAAUGGGACAUUUGUAACAACAAAAAUCAAUCUCUUAUUACUUAUGACACAUUUUCUGCCACCAUGCUCUUCUCUUGUUUCCCUUGUAUCUUUAUUCACUUAGUAUCAUCAUAUAUACAAUAAUUUACAAAAGACAGAGCAUAAUCUUUUGUUUAUGAUCAUUUUAAGUAUCUUGUUUUCAGGUGUACGCUCACUUUUGGUAUUUGCCAUAAAAUUGUUCCUUCUUGUCUUACCUUAGGUGUAAGUUCUCCAUAAAUGACUGUUCACACAUCAUGGAGAAUUAAAUUUACAUUGUUCUCAUUAUUUUCUCGUUCUAGAUUUAUAUAUGUACUUUGUUUUCUCCGCCUACGAUUUCUAAAUUUUUUACUUUAUUUAUACCUAUUUAGGAAAUGUCUUUAUUUUUAAAUAAAUUUUUGUGCUGCAUUCAGUAGCCUUCUAAUUAUUUUUCUAUGGUUUUCACAAUUCAUGGAGAAUAUUAAAUUUUUUAUCAGGAUUACUACAUCCAUCACUUCGGUAUUAUUACAACUUCAUGAAAUUUCAUGAAAGUAGGUAGUCUUACAUGAGAGUAGGAAAUACAUCCGUAAGCUGUAAUGAAAGUUUGAAAGACCGUCAAACAAAUCUUUUUUUUACUGUAAGUGAGGCACUCUUCAUCCUACAAGCUCAAGCUGUAAUUUCAAAACCCAAAUUCAAUCCUUUCAGUCAGUCUACAGAAUUCUUUCUUGUAUUAUAAAAAAAUUGAUGAAAAUUGCGUUCUCAUUGGUUGAAUACAUGCCCACUGUCAAAAUUUUUCCGCUCCAAAUAAGUAUCAUGGCUCCAAGUUUUUAAAACCUCAACCAACGUUUUUUUCUCUAUUUUAAGAAGGAAUAUUCUCCAGGAAAUAUUAUGGAUUGCUCUUACGAGAAU